rnacentral:rRNA from 1 species
GACGAACGCUGGCGGCGUGCUUAACACAUGCAAGUCGAACGGAAAGGUCCUGCUUUUGUGGGGUGCUCGAGUUGCGACCGGGUGAGUAACACGUGAGUAACCUGCCCUUGACUUUGGGAUAACUUCAGGAAACUGGGGCUAAUACCGGAUAGGAGCUCCUGCUGCAUGGUGGGGGUUGGAAAGUUUCGGCGGUUGGGGAUGGACUCGCGGCUUAUCAGCUUGUUGGUGGGGUGGUGGCUUACCAAGGCUUUGACGGGUAGCCGGCCUGAGCGGGUAACCGGACAAAUUGGGACUGAGAUACGGCCCAGACUAAUAUGGGAGGCAGCAGUGGGGAAGAUUGUACAGUGGGAGGAAGCAUGAUGCAGCAACGCCGCGUGGGGGAUAACGGCCUUCGGGUUGGAAACCGAUUUCGCCUGUGACGAAGCGAGAGUGACGGUAAUGGGUAAAGAAGCACCGGCUAACUACGUG